rnacentral:rRNA from 1 species
CUACGGGGUGCUCCAGUGAGGAAUAUUGCACAAUGGGGGGAACCCUGAUGCAGCAACGCCGCGUGGAGGAUGACGCAUUUCGGUGUGUAAACUCCUUUUAUAUGUCAAGAAAAUGACGGUAGCAUAUGAAUAAGCACCGGCUAACUCCGUGCCAGCAGCCGCGGUAAUACGGAGGGUGCAAGCGUUACUCGGAAUCACUGGGCGUAAAGGACGCGUAAGGGGGUUGGAAAGUCAGGUGUGAAAUCCUACAGCGUAACUGUAGAACUGCACUUGAAACUUCUAAUCUAGAGUAUGGGAGGGGGAGAGGGAAUUAGUGGUGUAGGGGUAAAAUCCGUAGAUAUCACUAGGAAUACCUAAAGCGAAGGCGAUCUCCUGGAACAUUACUGACGCUAAGGCGUGAAAGCGUGGGGAGCAAACAGGAUUAGAUACCCUAGUAGUC